GAUGAACGCUGGCGGCGUGCUUAACACAUGCAAGUCGAGCGAUGAAGUUUCCUUCGGGAAACGGAUUAGCGGCGGACGGGUGAGUAACACGUGGGUAACCUGCCUCAUAGAGUGGAAUAGCCUUCCGAAAGGAAGAUUAAUACCGCAUAAUGUUGACAGAUGGCAUAAUCGUUUAACCAAAGGCGCAAUCCGCUAUGAGAGGGACCCGCGGCGCAUUGGCUAGUUGGGGGGGUAACGGCCUACCAAGGCGACGAUGCGCAGCCGACCUGAGAGGGUGAUCGGCCACAUUGGGACUGAGACACGACCCAGACUCCUACGGGAGGCAGCAGUGGGGAAUAUUGCACAAUGGGGGAAGCCCUGAUGCAGCAACGCCGCGUGAGUGAUGAAGGUUUUCGGAUCGUAAAGCUCUGUCUUUGGGGAAGAUAAUGACGGUACCCAAGGAGGAAGCCACGGCUAACUACGUGCCAGCCGCCGCAGUAA
rnacentral:rRNA from 1 species